AGAAUCAACGCUGGCGGCGUGCCUAACACAUGCAAGUCGAACGAGAAAGUGGAGCAAUCCAUGAGUAAAGUGGCGCACGGGUGAGUAACACGUGACUAACCUACCCUUGAGUGGGGAAUAACUUCGGGAAACCGGGGCUAAUACCGCAUAACACCUACGGGUCAAAGGAGCAAUUCGCUUAAGGAGGGGGUCGCGGCAGAUUAGUUAGUUGGCGGGGUAAUGGCCCACCAAGACGGUGAUCUGUA
rnacentral:rRNA from 1 species